UUUGGUUUUUUUUGCUCAGCAGGCUCCUUGUACGGUUUGCCAGCGGCACGUUUUAUUUCAACAGUAGGGUUAGACUCUUAUGCACACACCCCUUUUGCUUCUCCGUGGAUUUUGUGAGAACGGAAGGCUGUGCUCGUCUUUAUUUGCAUUUACUGAGUGGGUGCUUUUGAGAGCGAGUGGGUUCGUUUGCUUGUUGGGCUUGCGGCACCGAUUGUGUGUGGCCUGAUUGAUUGCUCUGUCUCUGGACUCUGUCCCUUGCCUCUAGGGGCUUUCUGCUUACUUUGGGGUUGCUUUGGAAAUCUACGGUACUCUCCUUCCUUUUUGGCUUGGAAGUUUGUAUCCUGACUGUUGCCCUAUUUUGUUCUGGGUUUUUGCCCAGUUCGGUUUCUGGUCUUUAAGGGGCGUCGCCUUCGUCGCCAUUUUGAUUAAGGGCAGCGUGGUCGGGGCAGUCGGUCAUUUUGGGAGAGGCACGUGGCCCUGUCACUUGUUUUGAGUAAACGGCGGGAAGCAGCUCUUUCACCAGCUCUCAACUUACUUGCUGGCAUUCCUCUGUGCUUUUAGGGGUUUUCAGGCUUGCAUCUCCCCCUUCCUCUUAUUAAUUCUGAGCUGCUUUGUUCCACUUUUGUUUAGAUUCUUUCUGCGUUUUCACUCCUAAUUUUCUGCCCAGUUUACCUUGUUGCUCUGGAAGUCCUGGUUUAUAUCCCCUGCUCCAUGGGCCUUUUACUUUCUGCCCAACUGUAAAAUAAAAUUGAUAAAAGCAAUAAAAACAAAAUUGAAGUAGGUUAAAAUAGAACUAGUAAUAAGAAAUAAGUAAUAAUAAUAACUCUAGCUUUCAUUUGAAUACGUUUUGUCCUAUUUGGAUUCUGCCAGUUGGUUUGGUGAUUCUUGCUGAUCGCCUGCCUGCUCAUUUUGUGCUUAUAGUUGCUGGUUAGUGUGGUCAGUGCUAAGCCCAAGGCUGCUGGCUUUUUAGUGUCAACAAUACUGCCUCUGACUGCCUCCUGGUGUUGCAGCCAGUGUCUAGGCAGUACUAGACAGUCCUUUCGAAGUUCCAUCUGUUAAGCUUGGUGUAGGUAAUACUGAGCUUGCUUGAUUGUGCACAGGUGCCACUGCCUGCCAGUGUGGCCACUAUUGAGAUUAGCUGAUUACACUGCACUGUGCACAGAUGGUGCUGGCUGCCGGCCUGCUUAUGCAAUAUCGACCUUAGUUGACUUCUGGCCCGGGUAGUGCUUGCUGCUGGCCAGUGUAGACAGUGCCGAGCCUGUUUUACAACGCUGCUCUGCCCUGCUUGUGUUGCUGCCGGCCUGUGUGUCCUGUCAUCUGUUAGUUAUUUCAGCUCCUUAUUGAAUUGUCCCUGGGCCAAGUCGCCAUGCCCGUAAACUCCAAGCAGAAGGUGGCCGUUUCCCCUCCACGCACCAGGCGUGGGACUGUUAGGCUUCCUCCUGCCCAAGCCCCCGCUAGUCAAGGGUCUGCUUUGUUACCUCGCCAAGUUUCUCUGACUGCAAUGGGAAAUAGUGUUGGUGUGACUUCUGAAGUCAUACCCCCUACCCAGACUGACGUAGUGCCCGCAUCAAGACCCAAUCACGCCUUCAUACGUUUCAUCGAGGGGCUCGAAGGCUUGGUCCACAGUUUCAAAGCUCGGGCACUGAACCAAUCACACGCCUUGUCCUCAACCCAGGGUCAUGUGGUGGGAUCUUCAUCGGCUUUUUCUGGCUUUUCACCUUACCAACCCCCUUCAACCCAGGCAUCGCCUCCGGGUUUUUUGCCAACUUCUCCAGGCCAUACCUAUUCUCACCCGCCUCCAGUACAAUUGACGCCAGAGCUUCCUAGCACGUCAUCCGUUUUGUUUAACCAGUCCUCGACCACAUCUGCUAGCGUAUUUCAGGGUGCCCAAGUGGCCAGCCGUCCUGUGGCUGCAAUAGCACAGUCUCAAGGUGCUGCUGCUGCAACAACGGUGCAGGGACCGAGUGGCUCAGGGGUUUCAGUUGCAGUAGCUGAAAAGCGGAAGAGAGGGCCUGGUCAGGAUCAGAAUGCUGGGCCUAAGUCUCCGGCAAAGAAGUGCAAAAGGAAGCGUAGUGGUAAAGGAAAGAAGAAAAGGCGCAAGGAUGACUAUGAUGAUGAUGAUGAGUCAGGCACAUCAAGUUCAGAUGAUAGCGAUUCCUCGCUUGGUUGUUAUUGGGGUGAAGGAGAGGAUUUGGGGGCCCUCCCAUACUGGUGCUUGGAGCGGAGAGCCAACUCCCACCGUAAACGGUUUGGGGGAACUCUAGAGUGGAAGGACGGGGCUUUGGUGGAACAGGUAAACACUACAGAUGUUCCUGGCAAUGUUCCUGGCUAUCAUUUGAGCACAAAAUUGCGGGCAAAAAUUCUGAAUGGGGAAUAUGUGGACAUAUUCAAAUUAGUGCCGACAUGGAUUGCGAUGCGUAGGGGAAAGUUGAAGUGCCGGAAUGGGGCACCUCAGGUUGAGAGGUCCUUCGCCAAUUGGCUUGAGGGUUUCUAUGUUUUUAUUGGAGUGGUAUCCAUGGCCUACCCUAAGCGGGCGUGGCAUCUUAUCAACUACCUCAAAAUUGUAAGGGAGGUGUAUGCUCUGGCAGGAGAAGAUGCCGCAAUUGCUUAUGACACAGAAUUUCGCCGGAACGCUUCCCACCUAUCCAACACCAGAUGGGAUCAGCUGGAUCAGCCAUUAUGGUUUGAGCUUGUGUGUUCGGAAAAUAACAACAAACCGCAGGAGGCUAGCAGGCAUCCUAAGUUCGCCUCCAAGCAUAAAUCCUCAUCAUAAAGUCUGCUGGGAUUUCAAUGAUGGGACUUGCCAACGGGCGAACUGCAAAUUUCCCCAUAAAUGCGAGAGGUGCCUUGGAACUCACCCCUGCAUUUCUUGUAAUUGGGGUUAAGCAGCCCUUUUGGGGGGCUGGGGGUUUCAUGCUCGGGGAGCCCCCAGCGCAGCCCCAAAAUCGGGCAUGCAAGGCAUACAUGAACAAUAGUUGCUUCUCACUUGCAAGCCUCCCCAUGAAGCUCAAUUCACUCAAACGAUUACUUGAUGAAUACUCAAAUCCCGAGUCGACUUAAUACAUUUGGGACGGUUUCUUUUUCUUGUAAAUAAUUUUUAUUAAUUUUCAAUUAAAGGCAUUCCAAUUAAUAAUAAAAUUGAAUCUUGCCACAUUAAAACACACACAAUAAAACCAAUGUUACAAUCUGAAUUAAAUAAUUUCAAGGGAGCUUCCCGUGUUCUGGAUGUCAGGAACAAUGUUCCUGCGUUCAUUUCUUUUGUUCCCCAGCUUCAUAAAUCCAAUCUUAACCAUUAUUUUAUGCAGUCCUGGUGUGGAACUCUCGUGUCCAUUAAAUCCAUUUCUAUUCUAACACAGGAGGCAAUUUUUUCUGUUGCUGUUGUUCAUUCAUAUAUAUAGAUAUAUAUGAUUUGCAUAGUCCUCUCCGUGACCCCAUCUUUGAUUUUCCGCUUUAUCUUCCAGGCUCCAGGCUCUGUUCCCACUUUUCUCAACAGGUGCCAACCCUCCUUCUUUUGAUAAGAUUUAUGGCACAGCAGUCUUUAGGUCUUUCAGACUUCUAAUAAGUUAGUAUUCCAAAUAUAAAUGAACUUUAUAUCCCACGCAAUGCCGUGGGAUAUAUUUCACUAAUUGUUUGGUGAAUGUUUAGCUUAGCUCAUCUAAGGAUGCAUGCCCGAUUCCCCGGGCCCUAGGGAAGCGAGCCAAAUCAAAAUUUCACAUUUGCAUUCACAUUACACCAUAUAUUGAAAAGGGAAAGGAAAUCCAUGCAACCAAAUGCAGUUUUUUUAAUGUGAAAUAUUCCCUGAUGUGUCCAAAUGUCUGGGGGAGGCUGUUUCUUUUUCUUCUAUGCCAUAGCUGCCAUUUUUUUUCAUCCCAAGCCUCUUCAUAUCUGAUCUUGGUUUGCCAGUUCUAAUUGGGGCUCUCCGCCGAGAGCCACGCAGCUUAAAUAUUGAAUUCCUUUCUUGCAAGGUUCGGAAAGUCGUGAUUAGCAAAUGUAGAAAAAGAUAUAGGUGCUCACCUCAUGAUGACGCACCACGAUGAAAGUCCUUUUCAAAUGAAAGCUCUGGCAUCCAGUGACUGAUUUAAUUAGCAAGGGGUUUUUUUUAUCUCCUCCUUUCCAGAACACGCCUGUUUCUUAGUCCAAAUUUUAAUGAUUUUAGGAAACAGGGCUCUCCCCCACUCAUGGCGAUGACUCUGGAGAGUUGCCAAUUCAUGCAGUGCAGCCUCAUCCAGCAUCCCUUCUGUAGCGAGUGGCAGUUAUCGGACGAACUGCGGGUGACGGCCAGUCCCCCCCUACCCUGGGGGGGGGGUCAGCAGGGAUAAUUACCCCUGAAAAUCUGCAUGGUUGGGGUCUGGUGUUCUGGGAAAGCAGCCAGCAGCCAUGGCAGGAAAUCAGCCAUUUGGGUCGGUUUCAAUCGGGGCUUCCGAAUUCCUGUUUCUUUUCCCUUAGCUCCCAGGAUCCACCAAAUUAAAAACUGGUGUAUUUUUAUCAUGCACAAUUUAACAUUUAAUUCCAUUUCCUUCAGAUGGUACAGGGGCUCUCAGAUGCAGCUUCCGGGCUGCCUCCACUUUCCCCGAAGGUAGCCAGGCUGAAUAGUUGCUGGGGUCAGGGAAGGUGGAGGCAGCCCGGAAGCUGCACCAUCUGAAGGCAGCCAGGCAUUCCCUGGCUGCAUGCAAGCAGGCAUGGGGGCAGGAAUCUCUCAGCUGGGAAGAGGGGAGGCUUAGCUCCCCAGCUGAGCAUUUAGAAUUAAAACUGAAACUUUCCAGAAAACUUGUGAAAAAGCAGCAACACAAGAAUUUUUUUUAAAAAGCAAACCAACCGCAAAUGAAUCAAAAUCACAAGAAAACAUAAAACACUGACCUAAACCUGAUUCUAAUUCUUACCCUAACGCUAACCCAGUCCUAAAAUUAACCCAAACCCAGAAAUGUUCUGGUUAGAUUUUCCGAUUGAGCCAGUACAUAGGUACAUUUGUCAGUGAAUUGCUAAAUAUGGUAAUGUGCAGCAGAGGCUCUUUUUCUUUGCCACGUGGUUUGACUGAAUUUCCGUCUGUUGCGCAGCUGGCACAUGGAGUGUGUUUGCGCUAUAAACUCAAUUCCUAAACCAUUCAUGUUUAGGCAAGUCUAACCCACCCUGCAGAAUCUCAUUUUUCCCUUCCUUUCUGUAGAUGCUAUUUAUUCUGGAAUGCUUCCAAAUGCUAAUUGUGUGCAUGUUUGUGUGGAAAACCCACACCUACUACAAAGCUAUGAGCAGAGCAAUUCUAGCCGCGCCUACUCAGCUCUUACUCCCAGGGAAGUAAGGGUAGUGACGGUUGGUGCAUUUCUCAAGAUAACAGCAACGGUUUUCCUUCGACAGCAGCUGCGCCUCAGCGCUUGUACAUUUUCCCCCAGGCUACCCUGAAGGGCCUCAAGGAAGACACGCUGCUCUUUCCCCCUGCUUUUAUAACUUUCUUUUAAAUGUAUAGGAACCGUUCAUUGUUGUUUUCACACGUUUCUCAUUUUAGGAUUGCAGCUGUUUUUUCUUUUUUAAUAUUUGCACCCCACUUUUCCAACAACAAAUGUUGAGCUCCAAGGGGUUUUCAAUAACUGCAUUAAAAAACAAACAAGACUUGCAGUCACUAUAAUAUCAAGCGUUGUGCUUCCCCGGCCCCCGUUUUUUUCCUUCCAGUGGCUGCAGCAGCAGCUACAACAAAGGCACCAGGACCCAUUCCUGGAGUUUUCUGACUGGAGUUUUCCUGGAGUUUUCUGACGGGAGAGACCCAAGUCUUUGCAACUUCCAGAUUGAGUAAUGCUGUGGUAGAAUGUCGUGGAUUCUGUGGCAUUUUGCUCAUUGCACCAAUUCGUUUGGCUACUUGGUGAGCAACUGCUUCAACAGCUGCGGCUAACGUUUAGAUCAGUUUCCACGUGUUUCAAAAUUGAAAGUUCAGAUUGUUGCAAUGCCCCUUUCAAGCCUGCAGUUUGCCUCACACUGCUAGCUGCAAAAGGAUUCGAGCUACUAUUUAAGCGCCUCUUCUGUGCAGCCAAUAGGUUUACACAUCGUGGCAGGAAAUCAGGAAAGAGUAAAGUGGCCCACCCCGGAAAAUGUGAGGAGGAGGAGCGCCGCAUGCUCUUCAUCGAGAGGUGCCGUCAGAAGGGAAUUGAUCUCUUCUGCCUGGGCACUUGGUACUGGACAGCAAUGAGAGAGGCGAAAUGAUAAGCCAUGAUGAUGAUGCUGUAGAGAGACACAGCCUGGGAGCGCCUGAAGAGACAGAAGCUGCCCUAAGGGGAAAAGGUGUUUCCCAAUCCAUAAGAAAGGCAGGGGAUCACCAUAAUUAUCAGGGUAGAGGAAUCACAUCUAAGUGUACCAUCUUAUUUGCAUUCAUUAUUAUCAUCCUCUUCCUCAUCACCAUCAUUGCUCUUGCUGUCCAGAGAGGGGGGAAAUCCAACCAGACUUGCCCUGAUGGGAAUAACUGUGCUGUUUUGGGACCAGCGUGCCCAGCUGGCUGGGUUGGCUAUGAAGGGAAGUGUUACUUUUUCUCAGAAGAAGAAAGAAACUGGACUUCUGCCCAGAGCUUUUGCAUUUCCCAGGGCUCUUCUCUGGCUGUGAUUCAGAGUGAGCUGGAAAUGGUGAGACCAACAAAUGUAUAAAGGUCUCUGUCAGAAGUUCGUUCUCCUCCCACAAUUGGCAUUAUUUGAGGUAGCAGGCUCAUUUGGAGGCAUUGCUCUAAUCUGUUUGUGUGUUUUCGACCAAGGUGUUCAUGCUCCGGUUCAAGGGCGAAGCUGACCAUUGGAUUGGCCUCCGGAAGGACUUCAAUGGUACCUGGAUAUGGGCAGAUGGGUCAGAAUACUGUAACACGUUGGUGGUGAAAGGAAGUGAAUACUGUACAUAUCUAAGCAAGGAGUUUGUCAUUGCCUCCCGUUGCCACAUACCAAUAAAGUGGAUCUGCAAUCACCCUGAUGCGUAUAUGAGGAAUGUAAACUCUACAGCAGGAAAAGUCAUAUGCCAAGAGGAAUUCUGAUUGUUAUUAGAGUCCCGAAUAGGACCACAUUUCCUUGGAAAGAACCCUGAGGACACGAGUCAAUAUCUGUGCAGCUUGUGUAAAUUUCAGUUUGGUGUUAUUCAAGGCUUUUAAAAAUGUAUUUAUUUAUGUAUCAUAAUUUUUUUGAAAAUUAGCAAAAUUGAUUCUUUUUGUAAAAGAUCUUUUAAAAAGUUAUGUAAAUGCCUUCUUAUUUUUAUUUUUAAUUUUUAUCUGCCUUUUUUUAUACAAAAACAAAAGAAAAAUAACCUAUCCCACAUCCCCUUCCCUCCAUCCCUCAGUCGUACGACUUUGAUAUCAAUCUCAACAUACAAAUAAAUGUCUGAUAGCUUCCCUUGCACCCUUUUCUUCGUUUCUUUACCUUUCUGCUAAAUAGUGUAUUCCAAAUUUUUAAUCUUCAACGUUCCUUUUUUGUUAAAUGCUGUUAAUUCUGUUGAUUUCUAUUCUGCUGGAUUUACUCAAGACCUGCUGGGUUAUUUACUUGUUGUUGUUUAGUCAUUUUGUCGUCUCCGACUCUUCGUGACCCCAUGGACCACAGCACUGCCAGGCACUUGUUACUUAUUUAUACUGGUUCUUAAAAUAUUCAAUAAACGUUUUCCAAUCCUCCUUA